rnacentral:rRNA from 1 species
GACGAACGCUGGCGGCGUGCCUAAUACAUGCAAGUAGAACGCUGAAGGAGGAGCUUGCUCUUCUGGAUGAGUUGCGAACGGGUGAGUAACGCGUAGGUAACCUGCCUGGUAGCGGGGGAUAACUAUUGGAAACGAUAGCUAAUACCGCAUAAGAGUAGAUGUUGCAUGACAUUUGCUUAAAAGGUGCAAUUGCAUCACUACCAGAUGGACCUGCGUUGUAUUAGCUAGUUGGGGGGGUAACGGCUCACCAAGGCGACGAUACAUAGCCGACCUGAGAGGGGGAUCGGCCACACCGGGGCUGGGAAACGGCCCAGAAUCCUACUGGAGGCAGCAGUAGGGAAUUUUCGGCAAUGGACGGAAGUCUGACCGAGCAACGCCGGGUGAGUGAAGAAGGUUUUCGGAUCGUAAAGCUCUGUUGUAAGAGAAGGACGAGUGGGAGAGUGGAAAGUUCACACUGUGACGGUAUCUUACCAGAAAGGGACGGCUAACUACGUG